rnacentral:rRNA from 1 species
AUGGACUGCUGCUGCCGUGCGCGUCGCCCGGAGCUAGGGCUUGCCUUAUUCGUCCGCGUCCUCAGGAAGGGCCUAAAGACAAACCAGAUCGUCGCGAACACCUUCCUCAAGUGCCUCUGCUGUGCGAAAAGGACGGAUGAGGCUGUGAACGUGCUGCUUCAUAGGAUGUCCGAGCUCGGCUGUGUGCCAGAUGCCUUCUCAUACAACAUUGUUCUGAAGAUCUUCUGCGACAAUAGCAUGAGCCAGCGAGGGCUCGAACUUCUCCAGAUGAUGGCGAAAGAAGGAGGUGGCUGCUUCCCUGAUAUGGUGGCAUAUAACACGGUCAUCCAUGGCCUCUUUAAGGAGGGUGAAAUAGGCAAGGCAUGCAAUCUAUUCCAUGAAAUGGUGCAGCAAGGUGUUGUGCCUGGUGUGGUGACAUAUAGCUCGAUUAUUGACGCGCUGUGCAAGGCCAGAGCAAUGGACAAGGCAGAGCUAGUCCUUCGGCAGAUGGUUGCCAAUGGUGCUCAACCCAAUCAA